rnacentral:rRNA from 1 species
UACGUAGGGUGCGAGCGUUGUCCGGAAUUAUUGGGCGUAAAGGGCUCGUAGGCGGUUUGUCGCGUCGGGAGUGAAAACACCGGGCUUAACUCGGUGCUUGCUUUCGAUACGGGCAGACUAGAGGUAUGCAGGGGAGAACGGAAUUCCUGGUGUAGCGGUGAAAUGCGCAGAUAUCAGGAGGAACACCGGUGGCGAAGGCGGGUCUCUGGGCAGUAACUGACGCUGAGGAGCGAAAGCGUGGGGAGCAAACAGG